CCUGAGGCUUAGGUUGCUUAACUAGUCCAUGCUCACAUAGUCAAUAGAAAAAUCAGGAUUUGAACCCAAAUUGUCUUUAUUUCAGGCCCAGCACUCUGUCAGCAUACUCUCUGGAACAUAUGCAGAUAAGUAAAUGCAAGAUAACUUGCAGAAGGAGAACCUACUAACAACUGAUGGGAGUCCCAGGGGUGGAGGGAAUCAGCAAAGGCUUCCCAGUGGAGACAGAGCCAUGCCAAGCCUGGAAGGAAGCUGAGGAGCCUAAGAGGCAGGAAUGAGAAGAGAAUCUAUCCCAGGAGAGCCCCAUGAAGGCAAACAUUGAUGAGAAACUCUUCGCUCCUCACAAGGAGGGAAAGGAGGACGAUGACAAGGACCACGAACCUACUAACAACUGAUGGGAGUCCCAGGGGUGGAGGGAAUCAGCAAAGGCUUCCCAGUGGAGACAGAGCCAUGCCAAGCCUGGAAGGAAGCUGAGGAGCCUAAGAGGCAGGAAUGAGAAGAGAAUCUAUCCCAGGAGGAGAUCAGGGGAGAGGAACGUUGGCAUGAGUAGGAGGCCAAGCCAGAGAACAUCAAGUGAGGUGGAACUCUUGCUGUCCCAACAGACGUGAUUAUAGAGAUGCCUGCCUCUGUGGACCAAGCUCCAACAGCAUGGGAGGGGGUAAGGAGCUGGGGAGCGGGGUGUGGCGUGGUGGAGAUGGCUAGCUGGUCCCUGUUCCUUCAGAGAGCCCAUGGGGGGAGGAAGGUGCCUCAUUGGGGAGAUGAGAAA